GGCCUCCUGGUGCUUACCACAGGCUGUAUUCUUACACUGACUGUACAAUAAAGAGGAAGGAAAGUAAACCUACCCCAUAUACACUUCAAUCCAGACCCUAUCCCUGGUCUGUAUUGUGAAUGGGAAGACAUGG
rnacentral:snoRNA from 1 species